rnacentral:rRNA from 1 species
UACGUAGGGACCAAGCGUUGUUCGGAUUUACUGGGCGUAAAGGGCGCGUAGGCGGCGUGGUAAGUCACUUGUGAAAUCUCUGAGCUUAACUCAGAACGGCCAAGUGAUACUGCUGUGCUAGAGUGCAGAAGGGGCAAUCGGAAUUCUUGGUGUAGCGGUGAAAUGCGUAGAUAUCAGGAAGAACAUCGGUGGCGAAGGCGCUCUGCUGGACCAUAACUGACACUCAGGGACGAAAGCUAGGGGAGCGAAUGGG